AUUUAUAUAGUUUAAAUAAAACAUUACAUUUUCAUUGUAAAAUUAAAAAAAUAUUUUUUAUAAAUU
rnacentral:tRNA from 2 species